rnacentral:rRNA from 1 species
AUUGAACGCUGGCGGCAGGCCUAACACAUGCAAGUCGAGCGGAGCGGCGGACGGGUGAGUAAUGCCUAGGAAUCUGCCUUGUCGUGUGGGAUAACGUCCGGAAACGGGCUCUAAUACCGCAUACUAUCAGAUGAGCCUAGGUCGGAUUGGCUAGUUGGUGGGGUAAAGGCCUACCAAGGCGACGAUCCGUAACUGGACUGAGAGGAUGAGUAGUCACACUGGAACUGGGACACGGUACAGGCUCCUACGGGAGGCAGCAUUGGGGAAUAUGGGACAAUGGGCGAAGGACUGAUCACACCGGGCCGCGUGUGUGAAGAAGGUCUUCGGAUUGUAAAGCAAUUUAAGUUGGGAGGCGUUACCAACAGAAUAAGCACCGGCUAACUUCGUGCCAGCAGCCGCGGUAAUAC